rnacentral:tRNA from 1 species
GGAGUGGUGGUUCAGUGGUACAAUUCCUGCCCUCCAUGCGGGAGACCUGGGUUCGAUUCCUGGUCAUUGCA